GGAUGAAUGAGCUGUUUCCAGCAUUCCUGCUUCAACUCAAAAUUUUCCUUCAUGGCACAGUGGAAAGCUUUGAAGACGGCGGUUCUGGGGCUGAAUAUGAAGGCAACUCGGACUAAGAAGACGACUGCUUUCCAACUGCCCUCCCGUCCUGCAGCCGCCUGAUUUGAGGAAGGGGCUGGGAUCCUUCCCCUUGCCCUCUGGUUGUUCUUGGAGUUACAGCAGCCCCGCGGCAGCUCUGCCCCCUAGUGCACAUGUGAGGCAGCGCGCCCUUCUCCAAUCCAGAAGCCUCGUCGCGGUGCUGCCAGCAAGGGAGUUUUUCUGUAUUCACUUUGGUGGAAAUAGCAAAACUUGACAGAAAAAAAACCCAAGCCAAACC
rnacentral:lncRNA from 1 species